rnacentral:lncRNA from 1 species
UAGGAUCAUAAAGACUACAGCAAAAGAAGCUUGGGUGGCUCUUCUCAAGAACUGCUCCUCCACAAAUCCAUCUCGGAUUAUGCAUCUUCACAAUCAUCUGCACAAUACUUUGAAAGGUACUCAAACUGUUGCAAAAUAUGUUCAAGAAAUUCAGUAAACUUGCGACGAGUUGGUGGCAGUUGGACAUCCCGUUCAGGAAACCAUCUCAAUUUAUGCUUUACUUAGGGGCUUGGACCAGCCUACUCUACAUUUAAUGCAAGAAUCACUUCCAAUUUGCAUAAUCUCUGCUUCGAAGACGUGGUCACCCAAAUUAAUUUGCACAAUGAAUUGCUGAAUUUUUUGACGCCUUCUAAAGAUGCAAUGAACUCAGAUUUUCCUCCUGCUGAAAAUCAAAUGCAAUUUCAGCCAUCUAAUCACAGCCAAGGGAAAUUUGGAGGACGCAGCAGCCAAGGUAGAGGUUGUAAUGGAGGUAGAUACACUCCACAGUGCCAAAUCUGUGGCCAAUUUGGACACUGUGCCCAAGACUGCUAGGAAUGCUUCAACAAGAACUUCUAUGGAUGGCAAAAUUUGCCGAACAACACUAAGUCAACUCCACAAACUUACAAUCUCAGCAUGAAUUCAUAGACAACUUCCUCAGCUAAUUCAGCUUGGUAUCCUGAUAGUGACACGACACACCACAUUACCAAUGAACCCUAGACACUCAUGGAUACGGCUUUAUACCAAGGGACAGAUCAACUGCAGCUUGGAAAUGGCACAGGUCUGUCCAUACAUUCAAUUGGAUCUUCCUCCUUAGUUUCACAAUCACGUUCACUGAAACUAGUCAACAUACUUCAUGUCCCAAUGAUCCAGAAAAAACUUUUAUCCAUUUACAGACUUACAAAUGAUAAUAACAUCUUGUCAAAUUUCGUGUUGAUCAUUGUAUUAGGAAGGACAAAGCAACAUGGACAUCACUCCUCUAGGGAACAGUUAAGGAUGCUCUCUACCUCAUCAGCCAGUCCAAUAAUCCGCAAACAUUUCUCAAGCAGAGGGUGGCUCUCAACAUGUGGCACCAAUGACUUGGGCACCUGAAUUUCCAGCUUCUUCAGCACAUAAUUGCCACUUAUGGCCUUCCCACUUUCGCAAUCAAUAAACCAUAUGAAUGUGAUUCAUGUCUUUCAUCCAAGUCACAUAGACUCCCAUUCUCCAAUUCACAAAAUCACAUGAGCUGCCCACUUGAGCUGAUUCACUCUGAUUUGUGGGGGCUCGCACCUACCACAUCACAUCUUGGCUACCAAUACUAUGUCCUAUUUGUCGAUGACUUCACAAGAUAUACAUGGCUUUAUCUAUUAAAAUUGAAAAGCAAUGUUCUACAUACCUUUGUGGAUUUUUAGACUUGAGUUGAAUGACAAUUGAACUUGAAAAUUCACAAUUUUCAGCCCGAUUAGGGAGGUGAAUAUUAGUCCUUGAACAAAUACUUGAAAGAGCAGGGGAUUAAUCAUCGAGUGUCUUGCCCACACACGCUAGCUCAAAAUGACACAACUGAAAGGAAGCAUAGACACUUGAUUGAGACUGCCCUCUCAUUAUUGAAGCAUUCACAUCUUCCACAGAAAUUCUGGGAUGAAGGUAUUUGCACAGCAGCAUAUCUAAUAAAUCAAAUGCCGACACCCUUGCUCAGCAACAAGUCUCCCUAUCAGGUACUCUUUCAUCGUGAGCGAGAUUAUCAUCUUCUAAAGAGUUUUGGCUACUCAUGUUGACCUUGUAUUCGUCCUUAUACUGCCACCAAACUUGAUGCAAGGUCAAAAAGGUGUGUAUUCCUUGGUUAUAGUGUUUUUCAUCUCAGGUACAAAUGUCUAUCUUUGUCUACUGGUCAAUUAUACAUAAACAGAAAUGUUGUCUUCAAUGAGGCUGUCUAUCCCUAUGUUGAGAGAUCUGGCCCACUUGCCUCAACUAGUUGACUUUCAUUAUAGAAUUUUGGGCUCCUAUCCAGCAGCCAUGCCUAAUAUGCCAACAUCAGCCCCAAGCCUAAAUUGCCAAUCAUUUUCCGAUCCAACCUCACUAGUUGACUCAGAUGCACCUACUUCACCCUAUUCCAUAGACCUUUCCAUUUCUACAUCUCCUCGUGACAACCUAACAUCCUCUCCCAUUGGUCACAUUCCUUCAAAUGACCCAUUGUCCCCUUCAAACCUUGACCAUCAAUCCUUUCCUAGCCAUGUUAAAACUAAACCUCUAGCUAAGAUCUUUAAAACCAUUGACUCGGUCAAAUCUACCUCCUAUGUCAAGUACCCACUUCCUACUUAUUACUACCACUUCAACUCUUGAACCUCAUAACUACUUAUCUGCAUCCAAACAACCUAAUUGGGUCAAGGCCAUGCACGAAGAAUACCUUGCUCUCAUUCGCAAUCAAACCUAGAGACUUGUUCCUCAUCCUACAAAUUGACCAAUUAUAGGUUGUAAAUGAAUCUAUAAAACUAAACACUCACCUGAUGGUUCAGUUGAUAGAUUCAAGGCACGUUUGGUGGCAAAGGGGUAUCAUCAAGAGGAGGGAGUUGAUUACCAUGAGACAUUCAGUCUUGUGAUUAAGGUCAUGACAAUCUGGCUUUUACUUGCAAUUGCGAUAAGUCAACAUUGGCAAAUUCGUCAACUUGAUAUAUUCAAUGAAUUUUUACAUGGCAACUUGACUGAGUUGAUACUCAUGGAGCAACUAGAUGGAUUCAAGGACCCUAAUUUUCCUAAUCAUGUGUGCCAAUUAUGAAAAUCUCUCUAUGGGCUCAAACAAGCACCCUAUGAAUGGUUCCACAAGUUGACCAGUCAACUUCUCUACCUUGGGUUCACUAGAUCUAAGACUGACAUGUCCUUCUUCUAUACUCAUGUUGGACCUCUAUAUGUCCUGAUCUACAUGGAUGACUGAUAACUUGUGAAAUUUACAUAUUAAUGCGUUACUAAAUCAUGGAGAAUAAUGCAUAUUUGAGAAUUAUUUCACAAGUUAUCAUGUUAAUUAUUUUACUUGUCAUUUUGAUAAACCUCCUUAAAUCUUGAUUUAAAUUGAUAUUUUAUGAAUAAAAAGAAAAUUAGUGAGAAUUUAUUUGAUAUGCUGAAGCUUAAUUCUCAUUUAGUUUAUUUUGAAAUAAAAUCCUAUUGUGUUAAAUUUUUAUGAUUUUUUGAAAUAUAUUUUCUGCAAAUUUUUCUGAAAAUUUUAGGCAUUAAAAUAAAUGAAAUAAUAGAAAGAUAAAAUGGGCGCACCGUUAGCGGGCCAGAGGCACACCGCUUAACAUGGGCCCGACGUGGGCCAGAGGCCACACCACGUCUCGUAGCAGGCCCGAGGGGCACACCGCCUUGCAAACCGUGUAAAUCGGGUCGCGGAACUGAAUCGGGGAUUCGAGCUAGAUAGAUCACUUCCAAGGCCUAUUGGGAGCUGGUAGUCAGGUCCAGUCAACCCUGGGCGCCGGUAGUCAAGUCCGGUCAACCCUUUAGGAAGCGCAUACAAUUAUUCCUGGACACUGAUAAUUAUACAGAAUUUUAGAUCUAUAUUACUUCCGAUAUGGGACUAAAUGGGUGCUUCUUAUCCUUUUCAGAUCUGACGGUAGAGCGGUGGUUGCGACAAAGAUCCGAUGAUCCUAAAGCCGCCACAUCACCGCCCACCAUCUCACAAAAAGUAGCACCAGAUCUAACGGCAGCCGCCAUCAGAUCCGACGCAUCAGAAGCAGCCACGUCUCCAUCCUCC